CCAACCUCCUGCUUAUUAUAUCCAUACCAUGCUUACUUCAUAACAUAAAAAAAAUCUUAAUUUGGUCACAAUAGUUAAUUAAGAUUUAAGAACAUUAAUCUCACUUGUACCCCACUCCUUGGUAUUUGGAAAUUAAAAUAUGAUUAAGAGGACCCUAAGAAGAUAAAAAUAUGAUCAAGUAAGAGGACGGAUUAACAGAAUUUAAAAAAGAAAGGAGAAUAUUAAACUAUAACUGUGCGCACGAUAGCCGUCGUAACAUAUCAAGCGCAAGA
rnacentral:lncRNA from 1 species